rnacentral:rRNA from 1 species
UACAGAGGUCUCAAGCGUUGUUCGGAUUCAUUGGGCGUAAAGGGUGCGUAGGCGGCGCGGUAAGUCGGGUGUGAAAUCUCGGAGCUUAACUUCGAAACUGCAUUCGAUACUGCCGUGCUUGAGGACUGGAGAGGAGACUGGAAUUUACGGUGUAGCGGUGAAAUGCGUAGAUAUCGUAAGGAAGACCAGGGGCGAAGGCGGGGCUCUGGACAGUUCCUGACGCUGAGGCACGAAGGCCAGGGGAGCAAACGGG